UAACAGACAUAUGGUAUUAUUUGAAACUCCUGCAACCCUUUUUAAGGUUUUAGAUGAAGGAAAGCCUGGUUGCACUCUCUUGAUGGAAAGAGCUUCAGAGCUGCAGUUCUGUUGGAAAUUGGCAUGCUGUUGUUGCAACACCAUUACUGGUUGCCUUUGAACUUCUCCAUUAUGUAUAUCUGGAGGGCAUCUAUGUGAAAAGGCAUGCACUAAUAGGAUGACCUUCCCAUGGUCCUAUUCAUUUCAAGGCUCCUGCUAGGAUCCUUUGGAGUACUUUCCCUAGGUUUAAUGAACUUGUUUCUGACAUGUAAUGCUACUUGAAGUGACCUUCAUAUUCACAAGCGAUGAGUCCCUACUUCCCUAAGAAAGCCUCCUACAUCGAUUAUAUUGUUUGGAUAAAU